UACGUAGGGUGCGAGCGUUGUCCGGAAUUACUGGGCGUAAAGAGCUCGUAGGUGGUUUGUCGCGUUGUUCAUGAAAACUCACAACUCAAUUGUGGGCGUGCGGGCGAUACGGGCAGACUGGAGUACUGCAGGGGAGACUGGAAUUCCUGGUGUAGCGGUGGAAUGCGCAGAUAUCAGGAGGAACACCGGUGGCGAAGGCGGGUCUCUGGGCAGUAACUGACGCUGAGGAGCGAAAGCGUGGGGAGCGAACAGG
rnacentral:rRNA from 1 species